UAACGAAUCUUCCGCAAUGCACGAAAGUGUGACGGAGCGACGCCGCGUGGAGGUUAAGUCCUUCGGGAUGUAAACUCCUGUCAGGGGUUACCAAGUUCUGAGGAGCCCCAGAGGAAGGCACGGCUAACUCUGUGCCAGCAGCCGCGGUAAUACAGAGGUGCCAAGCGUUAGGCGGAAUCACUGGGCUUAAAGCGCGUGUAGGCGGGUCGAUAAGUGUCUUGUGAAAUCCCACGGCUCAACCGUGGAACUGCUGGGCAUACUGUCGAUCUUGAGGCACUCAGAGGCGAGCGGAACAAAUGGUGGAGCGGUGAAAUGCGUAGAUAUCAUUUGGAACGCCAAUGGUGAAAACAGCUCGCUGGGGGUGUUCUGACGCUGAGACGCGAAAGCCAGGGGAGCAAACGGGAUUAGAUACCCCCGUAGUCC
rnacentral:rRNA from 1 species